CCAGUAGUGUAUGCUUCUCCUAAAGACUAAGCCAUGCAUGUCUCGAAUAGAAGAGCAAUUCUCUCUGAAUCUGCGAACGGCUCCGCACACCAGUUGCAAACCACAGCAAGUCCGUCGAGGCUGGGGGGGACUCGUCCCUUCCAGUAGUAGACUAUAAGGAUAUCCCUGGUAAUUCUGAGGCUAAUACUUGACCGUACGCCAUGGUCGACCGGUUUUGCCGGGAGGCUGUGGAACGUGUGAAGGCAGGUCGCAACAAAUUACAGGGAACUGAUGCACGUUCAAACCACUUCCAGAUAGGCAGUCCCUUCUUCGGGAGGGAGUCCCCGUUCGGGUGGGCCUUGCAAGGUGCUUCUGACCUAUCAACUAGAUGGCAGCGUAAUGGACAUGCUAUGGUUACAACGGGUACAGAGGAUAAGGGUUCGAUCCUGGAGAGUGGGCCUGAGAGAUUGCUCACACUUCUAAGGAAGGCAGCAGGCGCGUAACGUUCCCAUUGGGCACUGCCCGAGGGCGUUAGGGGACAUAUGAAUGCCUGCCAUAUGGUGGGCAAUUCA
rnacentral:rRNA from 1 species